rnacentral:Y_RNA from 1 species
GGUUGGUCCGAGUGCAGUGGUGUUUACAACUAAUUGAUCACAACCAGUUACAGAUUCCUUUGUUCCUUCUCCACUCCCACUGCUCCACUUGACCAGCCU